AUGGAGGGAAAACAACAAUGGGACAUGGUGGAUCCUGGAUUCAAGCUUUGCGCUCCAGUUCUGAAGAGAGCAGCAGGUAGACCAAGGAAGAGUCAAAUCAGACCUCGCACCGAAGGAGCUGGACUUGGAGCGAGGAACCGUAAGUGCACAAGGUGUGGUGGGUCUGGUCGUUUCGGUAAGUAUUGUGAUAACACAGUAGAUCCAGCGUUCGGAGAGAGUUUCGAUGAAGGCUUCGAUGAAAAUGUUGGUCAGCAGCCGGUUGCCUCAACAGAUGAUGAAAAUGAUGGUCAACAGCCGGUUGCAUCAGAUGAGGAUUUUGUCGAGGUUCCAAAUGAUGAUGGUCAA
rnacentral:rRNA from 1 species